AUUGAACGCUGGCGGCAUGCCUAACACAUGCAAGUCGAACGCGAAAGGGCUUCGGCCUGAGUAGAGUGGCGGACGGGUGAGUAAUGCAUCGGAAUCUGCCUUGAGGUGGGGGACAACCCAGGGAAACUUGGGCUAAUACCGCAUGAUCUCGAGAGAGCAAAGUGGGGGACCCGCGAGGGCCUCAUGCCUUGGGAGGAGCCGAUGUCCGAUUAGCUAGUUGGUGGGGUAAGGGCUUACCAAGGCGACGAUCGGUAGCUGGUCUGAGAGGAUGAUCAGCCACACUGGGACUGAGACACGGCCCAGACUCCUACGGGAGGCAGCAGUGGGGAAUAUUGGACAAUGGGGGCAACCCUGAUCCAGCAAUGCCGCGUGUGUGAAGAAGGCCUGCGGGUUGUAAAGCACUUUUGUCCGGGAAGAAAGGACCUGACCUAAUACGUUGGGGGGAUGACGGUACCGGAAGAAUAAGCACCGGCUAACUUCGUGCCAGCAGCCGCGGUAA
rnacentral:rRNA from 1 species